rnacentral:rRNA from 1 species
GCUAGCGGGAGGCCUAACACAUGCAAGCCGAGCGGUUUUGUUUCUUCAGAAAUGAGAGAGCGGCGUACGGGUGCGGAACACGUGUGCCACCUGCCUUUAUCGGGGGGAUAGCCUUUCGAAAGGAAUAUUAAUACUCCAUAAUAUAUUGAACGGCAUCUUUUAAUAUUGAACGCUCCGGCGGAUAGAGAUGGGCCCGCGCAAUAUUAGCUAGUUGGUGAGGUAACGGCUCACCAAGGCGAUGAUCUUUGGGGGGCCUGAGAGGGUGAUCCCCCACGCUGGUACUGAGACACGGACCACACUCCUACGGGAGGCAGCAGUGAGGAAUAUUGGUCGGUGGGUGCAAGCCUGAACCACCCCUCCCGCGUGAAGGACGACUGCCCUAUGGGUUGUAAUCUUCUUUUGUAUAGGGAUAAACCCCCCCCCGGGAGGGUAGCUGAAGGUACUAUACGAAUAAGCACCGGCUAACUCCGUGCCAGCAGCCGCGGUAAUACGGAGGGUGCAAGCGUUAUCCUGAUUUAUUGUGUUUAAAGGGUCCGUAGGCGUACUUAUAAGUCAGUGGUGAAAGCCUGUCGCUUAACGAUAGAACUGCCAUUGAUACUGUGAGUCUUGAGUAUAUUUGAGGUAGCUGGAAUAAGUAGUGU